AGGUGAGCUCUUUGGGUGUAAAAUGCAAAGAUGGGAUGAAGAGACAUUGCAGCCCUCUGAUUACUCACUUGGGGGAAGUAGAUCAAGGCUAUGAUGUUGCCUGACAGUGAUGGUUGAAGGCAGCUGAGUCCUGUCAUGGAAAAUGUAAAGGCCCUCCCCUUUUUCAUUUCCCUCCAGGAACUUCUGCCUGUAGUAAUAAAGAAUCCUGUGUUCA
ensembl:lncRNA novel transcript